GAUCCUGGCUCAGGAUGAACGCUAGCUACAGGCUUAACACAUGCAAGUCGAGGGGCAGCGGGAAGUCAGCUUGCUGACUUUGCCGGCGACCGGCGCACGGGUGAGUAACACGUAUCCAACCUUCCCGUUACUCUGGAAUAGCCUUUCGAAGAAAGAUUAAUACCGGAUAGUAUCGAGAGAUUGCAUGAUUACCCGAUUAAAGAUUCAUCGGUAACGGAUGGGGAUGCGUUCCGAUUAGGCUAGG
rnacentral:rRNA from 1 species